ACAUGUAAAAUGAUGGCAGUACUUUUAAUAUAGGUUAACGCAGACAGACGCAUUUUGCCGGAAAACGAAUCUGACAUGCCACCUCGAGAUUUUAACCAAGGAAAGACAACUUGAUGUGCUUUGAUUUGAGGGGUCACUCAAUGCUGAACGAAAAUUAGGGACAUUGCUAUGUGAAGAAACGUUAACAUUGCCGCCUAUGGGAAAACAAUUAGUGGGCUGUACCCAAUAUGAGGAGCCUAUUGGAUCAUGGUGAUACAGGACAAUGUCGAGGUUCAUGCAGAUGUGUUUAAAACUAUCAGUCAGUAAAAACA